CGUACACUCCUGCGGGAGGCAGCAGUGGGGAAUAUUGGACAAUGGGCGCAAGCCUGAUCCAGCCAUGCCGCGUGAGUGAUGAAGGCCCUAGGGUUGUAAAGCUCUUUCACCGGUGAAGAUAAUGACGGUAACCGGAGAAGAAGCCCCGGCUAACUUCGUGCCAGCAGCCGCGGUAAUACGAAGGGGGCUAGCGUUGUUCGGAUUUACUGGGCGUAAAGCGCACGUAGGCGGACUAUUAAGUCAGGGGUGAAAUCCCGGGGCUCAACCCCGGAACUGCCUUUGAUACUGGUAGUCUUGAGUUCGAGAGAGGUGAGUGGAAUUCCGAGUGUAGAGGUGAAAUUCGUAGAUAUUCGGAGGAACACCAGUGGCGAAGGCGGCUCACUGGCUCGAUACUGACGCUGAGGUGCGAAAGCGUGGGGAGCAAACAGGAUUAGAUACCCGGGUAGUCCCAU
rnacentral:rRNA from 1 species